rnacentral:rRNA from 1 species
UGCGUAGGUGGCGCCGUAAGUCAGGUGUGAAAUUUCGGAGCUUAACUCCGAAACUGCAUUUGAUACUGCGGUGCUUGAGGACUGGAGAGGAGACUGGAAUUCACGGUGUAGCAGUGAAAUGCGUAGAUAUCGUGAGGAAGACCAGUGGCGAAGGCGGGUCUCUGGACAGUUCCUGACACUGAGGCACGAAGGCCAGGGGAGCAAACGG